GUGUUUGCAUUGCAAGGUCUUUGGUGUUUGCAUUGCAAGCUGUUUGGUGAUUGCAUUGCAAUGUAGUCAGUGUUUGCAUUGCAAGAUGUUGGGGGUUUGCAUUGCAAUGCAAUGAAGUUGGUAUUUGCAUUUCAAGUUGUUGAGUGUUUGCAUUGCAAGCUGUUUGGUGAUUGUAUUGCAUUGCAGUGCGGGUGGGGUUUGCAUUGCAAUAUAUUGGGGUUUUGCAUGCAAUAUAUUGGGGGUUUGCAUUGCAAUAUAUUGAGGGUUUGCAUUGCAAUGUAUUGGGGGUUUGCAUUGCAAUAUAUUGAGGGUUUGCAUUGCAAUGUAUUGGGGGUUUGCAUUGCAAUACAUUUGGUGUUUGCACUGCAAUGCAGUUGGGCUUUGCAUUGCAAGAUAUUGGGGGUUUGCAUUGCAAUCUGUUUGGUGAUUGCAUUGCAAGCUGCUGGGUGUUUGUAAUGCAAUGCAGGUGGGGUUUGCAUUGCAAGCUGUUUGGUGUUUGCAUUGCAAUGUAGUUGGGGUUUGCAUUGCAAGAUGGUGGGGGGUUGCAUUGUAAUACAGUGCAGGUGGGGUUUGCAUUGCAAGUUCUUUGGUGUUUGCAUUGCAACCUGUUUGGUGAUUGUAUUGCAAUGCAAUGCAGGUGGGGUUUGCAUUGCAAUCUGUUUGGUGUUUGCAUUGCAAUGUAGUCAGUGUUUGCAUUGCAAGAUGGUGGGGGGUUGCAUUGUAAUACAGUGCAGGUGGGGUUUGCAUUGCAAGUUUGGAUUGCAAUGCAAUGCAGGUGGGGUUUGCAUUGCAAGAUGCUGAGGGUUUGCAUUGUAAUGCAAUGCAGGUGGGGUUUGCAUUGCAAGUUCUUUGGUGAUUGCAUUGCAAGCUGUUUGGUGUUUACAAUGAAAUGCAAUGCAAUGCAGGUGGGGUUUGCAUUGCAAGCUGUCUGCUGUUUGAAUUGCAAGCUGGUUGUUGUUUGCAGUGCAAUGCAAUCCAGGCAGGAUUUACAGUGCAAUGCAAUCUGUUCAGCAUUUGCAACACAACAUGUUCAGUGUUUGCAAUGCAACUGCACUGUGCAACGCAACACGCUCUGUAUGUGCGAUGCAUUGCAAUGUGCUCAGUGUUUGCAAUGCAAUGCAAUCUGUUCUAUACCUGCACUGCAGUGCAAUGUGCUCGGUGUUGGCAAUGCAAUGCAGUGUGUUCCAUAUCUGCAAUGCAAUGCAAUGCAUCCAGUGUUUGCAUUGCAGUGUGUUUGUUGUUUGCAAUGCAAUGCAACGCAAUGCAAUGCAACGUGUUCAGUGUUUGCAAUGCAAUGCAAUACAUUCAGUGUUUGCAAUGCAACGUUUGUAAUGCAAAGCAAUCUCUUCAGUAUCUGGAAUGCAAUGCAAUGUGCUCAGUGUUUGCAAAGCAGUGCCAUGCAUUCAGUAAUUGCAAUGCAAUCUGUUUGCAAUCUGCAAUGCAACUCACUUGCUGUUUGCAAUGCAACGCAACCUGUCUGCUGUUUGCAAUACAACACAACCCAUUUGCAAUCUGCAAUGCAAACUCAUUUAUUGUUUGCAUUGGAAUGCAACUCACUUAUUGCUUGCAAACUGCAAUGCAACACACUUGCAAUCUGCAAUGCAACUCACUUGCUCUUUGCAAUGCAAUGCAACCCACUUUUUGCACACACCCUUCCCUUUGCACACCCUGAGCGUGCAACGCACACUGCAAGACCCCCACCUUGCACACUCAAGCUGUGCACUAAUGCACAUCUAUGCACACGCAGCAACCCCUGUGCAACGCAACAACCCCUUUGCACACCCAUGUGCAAAUAUCUCCUGCACUGACCCCUUUGCACGCCCGUAGCUAAAGCCAACCUGCCCUUGCACCAACGCGUGUGCAAACCUUGCACUGCAAAUACCUCGUGUGCACUCACACGUGUGCAAACCCUGCACCAUUAAGCUGACAGUUGUGCAAACACACCCUUGCACACUUGUGGUCAUUCACACCCAUACACACACACACACGGAUCCAUCUAUAUGUGCACACUCACGCUUGUGCAAAGCCCCCCACACACGUGCAAUGCCUCUUGCACACUUGCAAACAUCCAUCUGCAAUCACACACACACUAAGUGUGCAAUACCUCAUACCCACGUGCAAACACCCCCUUGCACACUCAUCUAGUCUUGUGCUUGCACACUCUUGCAACACACACAAGUGUGCAAUACCUCAUACCCACGUGCAAACACCCCCUUGCACACUCACAGUCUCGUGCUUGCACCUCACAUCCACAUGCAAACACCCCCUUGCACACUCACCUAGCUUUGUGCUUGCACACUCUUGCAACACACACAAGUGUGCAAAGCCUCCCAGCCACGUGCAAACACCCCAUUGCACACUCACCUAGUCUUGUGUUUGCACACUCUUGCAACAGACACAAGUGUGCAAAGCCUCCCAGCCACGUGCAAACACCCCCUUGCACACUCGCAUAGUCUCGUGCUUGCACCUCACAUCCACAUGCAAACACACNNNNNNNNNNNNNNNNNNNNNNNNNCUUGUGCUUGCACACUCUUGCAACACACACAAGUGUGCAAAGCCUCCCAGCCAUGUGCAAACACCCCCUUGCACACUCACCUAGCCUUGUGCUUGCACACUCUUGCAACACACACAAGUGUGCAAAGCCUCACAGCCACGUGCAAACAGACCCUUGCACACUCGCAUAGUCUCCUGCUUGCACAACCUCACAUCCACAUGCAAACACCCCCUUGCACACUCACCUAGUCUUGUGUUUGCACACUCUUGCAACACACACAAGUGUGCAAAAGCCUCACAGCCACGUGCAAACACCCCCUUGCACACUCACAUAUAGCCUUGCACUUGCACACUUGCACACAGCAUCCGUGCACACCCAUGCACACACAAGUGCAGCCUCCCCCCUUUGCACUCCCAUGUGCACACUCAUGCACGUGCAAACUGCUUUGCACACUCACACUCACAAAGCAUCCACGUGCAAGCGGCUCUUUGCACACACCCACGUGCAAUCUCUCUCCCAUGCACACAUGUGCAAACCCACCUUUGCUCACACUCACACCCUCAUUUGCACGCAUUCCCACACCCACGUGCAAAUGCCUUCUUGCACACUGCCACAUAUGAGCAAAUGAGUGUGCAAACACCAGCAUCCGUGUGCAAGUACCUCCUUAUACGCUCACACACCCAUAGACCUGCACAAGUGUGCAACAGAACAGAGUGAUGUGCAAAUAAAGCCUUGCACACUUGUACA
rnacentral:lncRNA from 1 species